AUUGAACGCUGGCGGCAUGCCUUACACAUGCAAGUCGAACGGUAACAGGUCUUCGGAUGCUGACGAGAGGCGAACGGGUGAGUAAUACAUCGGAACGUGCCUAGUAGUGGGGGAUAACUACUCGAAAGAGUGGCUAAUACCGCAUGAGAUCUACGGAUGAAAGCAGGGGAUCGCAAGACCUUGUGCUACUAGAGCGGCCGAUGGCAGAUUAGGUAGUUGGUGGGAUAAAAGCUUACCAAGCCGACGAUCUGUAGCUGGUCUGAGAGGACGAUCAGCCACACUGGGACUGAGACACGGCCCAAACUCCUACGGGAGGCAGCAGUGGGGAAUUUUGGACAAUGGGCGAAAGCCUGAUCCAGCAAUGCCGCGUGCAGGAUGAAGGCCUUCGGGUUGUAAACUGCUUUUGUACGGAACGAAAAGCCCUGGGUUAAUACCCUGGGGUCAUGACGGUACCGUAAGAAUAAGCACCGGCUAACUACGUGCCAGCCGCCGCAGUAA
rnacentral:rRNA from 1 species